rnacentral:lncRNA from 1 species
GAAUCUAUCGAUCUUAAAAGAGGAGUAAUCCUAUGAAAUUUGAGAAGCUGGGUCCUUAAGUCUGUAGCCACAGCAGUAUAAUUGAUGGAAAAAAAAAUUUAUGAGAAUCACUUUUGGACUGGAGUUGAUUAAAUCUAUCAUAUAACUGAUGUCGAGGUUUGAUGAUUUAUCUAUGAUCUGCCAUCUAGUUAGGACUCACGAUAGAGAGACUGAAUCAUAUAAAAACUAUACCUUGAGGUUCUUUAUUCAGUUCUAUUAGGUUGUCACUACAUACUGGUAGAUGUCACUGGU